GGCAAAUGAGCUGGGCCGACAAGAAUCCCCAAGAAGCCAAACAGAUUCAAAUCAGUCUCUCGGCAGCUACUGACGAUGUCAGCGAGUGGAUUCCAUCGAUUUUCACACAGAAAAUCAACAUCAAAAAAAUCACCACAAUUCAGUAGCGUCAUGGUCAACCUGCCGAUCAACCAUUCACAGUGAAUAACCUCUAUUCGUAGCGGAAACGGUCCCUGUGUUGUCGACAAUGCGAACACAAUGUCAUCAAGCCGGAGUACCAUCCAGGAUCGAUCAAGUAUCGCAUUCAAUUGUUUACUCACUACCAUGUGCCCGACGUUCUGCUUGUGUGUUGUGAAAAUCCACUGAAGCCUGGCACGUCCACUGAAUUGAUCCUCAAGUUAACUAACCCAACGAUGUACCAUAUGACCACAACCAUUAUGAAACUGCCAACCAAGGAAGAGGAACGACGAAUGAUCGACUUCAAAUAAAAGUUCAACGAAAGUAACCAAAAUUCACCACUUGGAGAAAGUCCAAUAAAGUAACAAUCAAAUUGAACUUCACACCUGAAGAGGGACUAAAACCAGGCGAUUAUGUUACCCUUAGUUUCUUGAUGAAAUAUACUUUUGUGAAUCCAUACACACGCCCGAAAAGAAAGGACGUCGAAAACACGCAGUUUUUGCAAAAGUUGGUCAAAUUGAAGCCUAGAUUUAUUUCUAUGUAUAUCUAGAAAAUAAUCUUUUUUGCAAACAACUUGUUUAUUUAUUUUGAGCUAUUGUGUAAUUUUGAAUAUAUUGUAUAUUCUACUGUUUCU